rnacentral:tRNA from 1 species
CCGCCCAUAGCUCAGCUGGUAGAGCAGAUCCCUCUUAAGGAUAAGGUCGUAGGUUCGAUCCCUACUGGGCGGACAA